rnacentral:misc_RNA from 1 species
ACACAUGGGUUCGGAUGAAACUUGGAGUUUACAAAGGGGAUCUUGCUAAAAUUGUUGAUGUUGAUAAUGUACGCCAGAGGGUGACCGUCAAGCUAAUACCAAGAAUUGAUUUACAAACCCUUGCUAAUAAAUUGGAUGGUGGUAGGGAUAUUGGAAAAAAGAAAACCUUUGUUCCUCCACCGCGUUUUUUUAAUAUUGAUGAAGCAAGGCAAAUGAAUAUCCGUGUAGAGCGUAGGAGGGACAAAGAGUCUGGGGAAUACUUUGAGAUGGUUGAUGGAUUGAUGUUCAAGGACGGUUUUCUCUACAAAACGGUUUCGAUAAAAUCAAUUAGUAGACAAAACAUACAACCAAGUCUUGACGAGCG